rfam:Oryza punctata chromosome 8, whole genome shotgun sequence.
GUUUUACCAGGAGUUCCCUUCAAGCACUUCACGUAGAGCUUUCUAUUGAUAAGGAGCUUUAGAACAAUGUGAAGUGUUUGGGGGAACUCUUGGUACCAA